rnacentral:rRNA from 1 species
AUCCGGGUUGCGGACAGUGUCUGGUGGGUAGUUUGACUGGGGCGGUCUCCUCCUAAAGAGUAACGGAGGAGCACGAAGGUUAGCUAAUCCUGGUCGGACAUCAGGAGGUUAGUGCAAAGGCAUAAGCUAGCUUGACUGCGAGAGUGACGGCUCGAGCAGGUGCGAAAGCAGGUCUUAGUGAUCCGGUGGUUCUGAAUGGAAGGGCCAUCGCUCAACGGAUAAAAGGUACUCCGGGGAUAACAGGCUGAUACCGCCCAAGAGUUCAUAUCGACGGCGGUGUUUGGCACCUCGAUGUCGGCUCAUCACAUCCUGGGGCUGAAGUAGGUCCCAAGGGUAUGGCUGUUCGCCAUUUAAAGUGGUACGCGAGCUGGGUUUAGAACGUCGUGAGACAGUUCGGUCCCUAUCUGCCGUGGGCGCUGGAGAAUUGAGGGGGGCUGCUCCUAGUACGAGAGGACCGGAGUGGACGCAUCACUGGUGUUCGGGUUGUCAUGCCAAUGGCAUUGCCCGGUAGCUAAAUGCGGAAGAGAUAAGUGCUGAAAGCAUCUAAGCACGAAACUUGCCCCGAGAUGAGUUCUCCCUGACCCUUUAAGGGUCCUGAAGGAACGUUGAAGACGACGACGUUGAUAGGUCGGGUGUGUAAGUGUAGCGAUACAUUGAGCUAACCGAUACUAAUGAACCGUGAGGCUUAACCUUACAACGCCGAAG